ACGCUCGACACCUACUGGAGGCAGCAGUGGGGAAUAUUGCACAAUGGGGGAAACCCUGAUGCAGCGACGCCGCGUGAGCGAAGAAGUAUCUCGGUAUGUAAAGCUCUAUCAGCAGGGAAGAAGAUGACGGUACCUGACUAAGAAGCACCGGCUAAAUACGUGCCAGCACGCCGACGGUAAUCUGAGGCGGGCGUCGGACGAAGGC
rnacentral:rRNA from 1 species